rnacentral:rRNA from 1 species
GAUGAACGCUGGCGGCGUGCCUAAUACAUGCAAGUCGAGCGAACGGACGAGAAGCUUGCUUCUCUGAUGUUAGCGGCGGACGGGUGAGUAACACGUGGAUAACCUACCUAUAAGACUGGGAUAACUUCGGGAAACCGGAGCUAAUACCGGCUAAUAUUUUGAACCGCAUGGUUCAAGAGUGAAAGACGCUCUUGCUGUCACUUAUAGAUGGAUCCGCGCUGCAUUAGCUAGUUGGUAAGGUAACGGCUUACCAAGGCAACGAUGCAUAGCCGACCUGAGAGGGUGAUCAGCCACACUGGAACUGAGACACGGUCCAGACUCCUACGGGAGGCAGCAGUAGGGAAUCUUCCGCAAUGGGCGAAAGCCUGACGGAGCAACGCCGCGUGAGUGAUGAAGGUCUUCGGAUCGUAAAACUCUGUUAUUAGGGAAGAACAGAUGUGUAAGUAACUGUGCACAUCUUGACGGUACCUAAACAGAAAGCCACGGCUAACUACGUG